AACCAACAACCGUCGCAAUUCAGUACCAUCCCCUAUGCACAUGACCAGGCACAGGGACCAACUUCGACAGAAGUGCAGGAAAAACGUUUACAGAUGAAACAACCAAGGAAUGACCAGAAGUAGCAUCAAUAACUUUAAUAAAGAAAAAAGGGAUCUCCAAAAGUCAUAGCAGUUCUAAAUAUAGUUUACAGUCAACUAACUAUACAACAACAACUACUCACUAAAAUCCCACAAGUGGGGUCCGAGAGUGUAUGGCUGUACGCAGACGUUACCCUACCAGGAGGGGUAGA
rnacentral:lncRNA from 1 species